UACGAAGGGGACUAGCGUUGUUCGGAAUUACUGGGCGUAAAGCGCACGUAGGCGGAUUUGUUAGUCAGGGGUGAAAUCCCGGGGCUCAACCUCGGAACUGCCUUUGAUACUGCAAAUCUCGAGUCCGAUAGAGGUGGGUGGAAUUCCUAGUGUAGAGGUGAAAUUCGUAGAUAUUAGGAAGAACACCAGUGGCGAAGGCGGCUCACUGGCUCGGUACUGACGCUGAGGCGCGAAAGCGUGGGGAGCAAACAGG
rnacentral:rRNA from 1 species